rnacentral:rRNA from 1 species
GAUUAAGCCAUGCAUGUGCAAGUAUGAACGCUUGAACCGUGAGACUGCGAAUGGCUCAUUAAAUCAGUUAUAGUUUAUUUGAUGGUGUACCGCUACGUGGAUAACCGUGGUAAUUCUAGAGCUAAUACAUGCAAGAGGUCCCGACUCUCUCGGGGAGGGACGUAUUUAUUAGAUCCAAAACCAGCCCGUCGGGUCUCCGGGCCCGUCGGCGUUCCCUGGUGAUUCAUGGUAACUGCUCGAAUCGCACGGCCCUGGCGCCGGCGAUGGUUCAUUCAAGUUUCUGCCCUAUCAACUUUCGAUGGUAGCGUAUUGGGCUACCAUGGUCGCAACGGGUGACGGAGAAUUAGGGUUCGAUUCCGGAGAGGGAGCCUGAGAAACGGCUACCACAUCCAAGGAAGGCAGCAGGCGCGCAAAUUACCCAAUCCCGACUCGGGGAGGUAGUGACAAUAAAUAACAAUGCCGGUCCCACAGAGGUCCGGCAAUUGGAAUGAGUACAAUCCAAACCCCUUAACGAGGAACAAGUGGAGGGCAAGUCUGGUGCCAGCAGCCGCGGUAAUUCCAGCUCCCCUAGUGUAUACUAAUGUUGUUGUGGUUGAAGCGCUCGUAGUUGGUCGCGGGGGCCCGGCCGUCGGCGUCCGGCUCCGCGCUCCCCUCGCGGGUGUCGCGGUCCGGGUCGCUGCGGUCGCUCGGCCGGUUCGGUCCGUCGAGAGGCGUGCACUGUCCGGCGGCUCCGUUGUCUCUCGGAGGCCCCGUCUGCUCUUGAUUGCAGCGGUCGGGGAGUUCGGGACGUUUACUUUGAACAAAUUAGAGUGUUCCAAGCAGGCCGGUCGCUUUGAAUACGUUAGCAUGGAAUAAUGGAAUAGGGCUGCUCUCGUCCUAUUUUGUUGGUUUUCGGGACGGCAGUCAUGGUCAACAGGAACAGUUGGGGGCAUUCGUAUUCAGUUGUCAGAGGUGAAAUUCUCGGAUUUGCGGAAGACGAACGACUGCGAAAGCAUUUGCCAAGGAUGUUUUCAGUUAAUCAAGAACGAAAUUUGGGGGUUC